rnacentral:rRNA from 1 species
UACAGAGGUCUCAAGCGUUGUUCGGAUUCAUUGGGCGUAAAGGGUGUGUAGGUGGCGCCGUAAGUCGGGUGUGAAAUUUCGGAGCUUAACUCCGAAACUGCAUUCGAUACUGGCGGGCUUGAAUCCGGGAGAGGGAUGCGGAAUUCCAGGUGUAGCGGUGAAAUGCGUAGAUAUCUGGAGGAACACCGGUGGCGAAGGCGGCAUCCUGGACCGGCAUUGACGCUGAGGCGCGAAAGCUAGGGGAGCAAACGGG